rnacentral:lncRNA from 1 species
CACUUAUAUUUAUGUUUAUGUUUUCUAACUCUCUGCUAUGUGUAAUUGCUGGACCUUUGGGGGUCCAGGUUGACAGGUUAUAUGUUAGCCUCAUCCGAGUGCAAUGGUGAAGCUCUGCUCUGAUUGAGACACGGGAAAAAGGGGUUUUUAUAUGUAUAUGCAUGUAGUCCUCUUAGUAUACUCUGUUGGUCUUAAGCUUUCAUUUGAAAAGUAUCCGUUUUGUAUAACUAAUAACGCAUCGUUCGAUGCGAGGUUUUGUUUUUAGUUCAUUCCAAUAUUUUACUAGAUAAAUGUAUUAGUAUUAUCUUUGAAUGAAGUUUGUGAUAUUCAAACCAGCGCUUUAUAAAUCAGAUUUUCAAUUUUCUGCUGCGUAUUUUCGAAAAAGAUUUUAUAAAGGCAGAGUUAAUUAAAUAACGGGUUUGGGUGUUACAAAGUGGUAUCAGAGCUAGUCGUCUUCGGACUGUGAGGUUAUGUGUCAAUCAGAG